CUCGUGCCGCCGCUGCAGCUUCACGACGCCCUUCAGCUCCCGCAGCUCCUCCGGGCUGGCGGUCCGCGGCUCUGCGGGGGCCGGGGUGAGUCUAGGACCCUGCCCCCCUCCCUCAUCUUCCCUCCGAGAGGGCAGAGCUCCUGGACCAGGCAACACAGACCUCAGGCAGACCUCCCAUGGCUUCCUUGAGCUUCAAAGACUUCUUAUCAUGGGCACUGAAGAACUUGAUGGGAUUGGCAAGAGCCACGCCCGAGGGCCAGCCCCACAGAGGGAUGGAUUUGGGGAACAGGAGCCAGCCCCCACCCCCGGAAGAGGAGACGUCACGAUGAGGUCACCCCGGGUCACCUGUCA